GAUGAACGCUGGCGGCGUGCCUAAUACAUGCAAGUCGAACGAACAGAUAAGGAGCUUGCUCCUUUGAAGUUAGCGGCGGACGGGUGAGUAACACGUGGGUAACCUACCUAUAAGACUGGGAUAACUUCGGGAAACCGGAGCUAAUACCGGAUAACAUUUAGAACCGCAUGGUUCUAAAGUGAAAGAUGGUUUUGCUAUCACUUAUAGAUGGACCCGCGCCGUAUUAGCUAGUUGGUAAGGUAACGGCUUACCAAGGCGACGAUACGUAGCCGACCUGAGAGGGUGAUCGGCCACACUGGAACUGAGACACGGUCCAGACUCCUACGGGAGGCAGCAGUAGGGAAUCUUCCGCAAUGGGCGAAAGCCUGACGGAGCAACGCCGCGUGAGUGAUGAAGGGUUUCGGCUCGUAAAACUCUGUUAUUAGGGAAGAANCAAUGUGUAAGUAACUGUGCACAUCUUGACGGUACCUAAUCAGAAAGCCACGGCUAACUACGUGCCAGCAGCCGCGGUUAUACGUAGGUGGCAAGCGUUAUCCGGAAUUAUUGGGCGUAAGCGCGCGUAGGCGGUUUCUUAGUCUGAUGUGAAAGCCCACGGCUCAACCUUGGAGGGUCAUUGGAAACUGGGAAACUUGAGUGCAGAAGAGGAAAGUGGAAUUCCAUGUGUAGCGGUGAAAUGCGCAGAGAUAUGGAGGAACACCAGUGGCGAAGGCGACUUUCUGGUCUGUAACUGACGCUGAUGUGCGAAAGCGUGGGGAUCAAACAGGAUUAGAUACCCUGGUAGUCCACGCCGUAAACGAUGAGUGCUAAGUGUUAGGGGGUUUCCGCCCCUUAGUGCUGCAGCUAACGCAUUAAGCACUCCGCCUGGGGAGUACGACCGCAAGGUUGAAACUCAAAGGAAUUGACGGGGACCCGCACAAGCGGUGGAGCAUGUGGUUUAAUUCGAAGCAACGCGAAGAACCUUACCAAAUCUUGACAUCCUUUGAAAACUCUAGAGAUAGAGCCUUCCCCUUCGGGGGACAAAGUGACAGGUGGUGCAUGGUUGUCGUCAGCUCGUGUCGUGAGAUGUUGGGUUAAGUCCCGCAACGAGCGCAACCCUUAAGCUUAGUUGCCAUCAUUAAGUUGGGCACUCUAGGUUGACUGCCGGUGACAAACCGGAGGAAGGUGGGGAUGACGUCAAAUCAUCAUGCCCCUUAUGAUUUGGGCUACGCACGUGCUACAAUGGACAAUACAAAGGGCAGCUAAACCGCGAGGUCAUGCAAAUCCCAUAAAGUUGUUCUCAGUUCGGAUUGUAGUCUGCAACUCGACUACAUGAAGCUGGAAUCGCUAGUAAUCGUAGAUCAGCAUGCUGCGGUGAAUACGUUCCCGGGUCU
rnacentral:rRNA from 1 species